GACGAACGCUGGCGGCGUGCUUAACACAUGCAAGUCGAACGGAAAGGCCCUGCUUUUGUGGGGUGCUCGAGUGGCGAACGGGUGAGUAACACGUGAGUAACCUGCCCUUGACUUUGGGAUAACUUCAGGAAACUGGGGCUAAUACCGGAUAGGAGCUCCUGCUGCAUGGUGGGGGUUGGAAAGUUUCGGCGGUUGGGGAUGGACUCGCGGCUUAUCAGCUUGUUGGUGGGGUAGUGGCUUACCAAGGCUUUGACGGGUAGCCGGCCUGAGAGGGUGACCGGCCACAUUGGGACGGAGAUACGGCCCAGACUCCUACGGGAGGAAGCAGUGGGGAUUAUUGCACAAUGGGCGGAAGCCUGAUGCAGCAAGGCCGCGUGCGGAAUGAGGGCCUUCGGGUUGUAAACCGCUUUCGCCUGUGACGAAGCGUGAGUGACGGUAAUGGGUAAAGAAGCACCGGCUAACUACGUG
rnacentral:rRNA from 1 species